rnacentral:tRNA from 1 species
GCUCAGUCGGUUAAAUGUCAGACUCUUGACUUCAGAUCAUGAUCUCAAAGUUUGUGGGUUCAAGCCCCACAUUGGGCU